rnacentral:lncRNA from 1 species
CAAGCUGGGGAGCUGGUUUUGGUAUGGCACAGCGGACAAGGCAGCCCUGACCCACACGUGUCCUUGCAGGCGACCACCCCUACGAGUGCGAGUUCUGCGGCAGCUGCUUCCGGGACGAGAGCACGCUCAAGGGCCACAAGCGCAUCCACACCGGCGAGAAGCCCUAUGAGUGCAACGGCUGUGGCAAGAAGUUCAGCCUCAAGCACCAGCUGGAGACCCACUACCGGGUCCACACAGGCGAGAAGCCCUUCGAGUGCAAGCUUUGCCACCAGCGCUCCCGGGACUACUCGGCCAUGAUCAAACACCUUCGGACCCACAACGGGGCUUCCCCCUACCAGUGCACCAUCUGCCUGGAGUACUGCCCCAGCCUCUCCGCCAUGCAGAAGCACAUGAAGGGCCACAAGCCAGAAGAGAUCCCUACCGACUGGCGGAUAGAGAAGACCUAUCUCUACCUCUGCUACGUCUGAGGAAGAAGGCUCAGGGUCAACAGGGCCGAGUGGCAGAGGACUGGGCAAAAAAAAAACCAACACCAAACCCGCAGCGUCCAUGGCCUUGUUUGUUUUCCGUUCUCGUUCGUUGCUUCUCGCUGGAAGGAUCCUGUGGCUCACGCCAGGGUGGGGGACACACCAGCCCCUUCCCCAGCCCUAUCUGCACCACCACCCCAGCUGCUCAUGUGCCCACUGCCCUCACACCCUUGCUGCAGGGCAAAUUUCACCCCUUGCAGUCCCCAGACAGCCCCUCCAUCCCCCUUGGCACUGGCUACUGGCACUGCUGGGAAGACUGUGUAGGAACAAGGCGCUUCCCUGGAAGCGUGUGUAGGGCUGGUGCUCUGGGAAGGCUUUAAUUGCUGGUGUCCUCCGUCACUGCUGAUCCCACCGUGGAUGACCCGUGGAGGACCCGAGCUCCUGCGUGGUGAGUGGCCCCCAUUUCAGCAGGUUCCUGUGCUCCCAGGCUGCAGUGUCACAGGUGGGAGAGCACUGCGAGCUGCAAGUGCUGUGACAAGAGUGUCCUGGGGGAUCCUGGCCACAGGAGGGUGUUUGGGGCAGGGAGCCAGCUGUUAGCCAGGCUGCCUCACGCUGCUGCCUGGCAUCUGGUCAGCUGCAAGGGGCACCAGAGGCUGCUGCUCUCCCCUGACCAAAGACCUCUCUAUGCAUUUCCCUCUCCUUCCCCGCCUUCCCAGGGCAAGGGCAAAGCCCCCCAUGGGGAGAUGCAGCUCGUUUGGUGAUGCCUGGUUAAUGCCAGUGCUGAAAUGGGGGCUGCUGGUGUGUGGUAUCACUCCAAACAGAGGGAUCCUCUUUUCUUCUGCUGAUUUGGGACACCUGGAAGGUGCAGAGUGUGGUGGUUUUUUUUUUUUUGCCCAACCCUCAGCUGCAGGAACCUGCAAGUGAGUGGUGUCCGGUGGCAGGUGGCUUCACUCGCCGCUUUUUUUGCUUUUUGUUUGGGUUUUUUUGAACUUUCUUUUGGAAUAUUUCUGCAUUUAGCACAUUUUACUUGAAAUUACCUCAUUUUUUGUGACCUCAUGAGCUUUUAUUGAUUUGGGAGGGACGGGGGGCAGUGUGGCCGGGAUAUACCAGCCGCGUGCCCAGGGUUGGCAGUGGAGGGGUGGUGUGACGGUGGCGUCCCUGCCAGCCUCCCGUUGUGCAUUAUCCUUAACAAAACUGGUAUUUUUUGCCUGGCCCCGCGGGGCCGGGGGUGUUGGUUCUGAAGCUACCUCUUGUGUUCGUUUUUGUUGUGUUUCUCCUGCGUGGCCGCGGGCUCGGGGGUUCCAUCCCACGGCUUUGUUGUUUUGUUUUUUUUUUUUUUGUCGUUUUGCUGCAUUGGGGUAAAAAGGGGGAGAAAAGCGU